GAAGUUUGGGAAGCAUUGUGUCAUUACUGGAACACUAAUGAGAAAAUUUCAAAAAUUAAUCAAGAAAAUGCGAAGAAAAAAAGAGGGAGUCAUGCGCUGGGUCGUACAAAUAUUCCAUCCUUGGAGCAUAAAUUUUUUCAGGAAAAGGGAA